AUUGAACGCUGGCGGCAGGCCUAACACAUGCAAGUCGAACGAGCGGCGGACGGGUGAGUAAUGUAUGGGGAUCUUGCCGAUAGAGGGGGAUAACUACUGGAAACGGUGGAUAAUACCGCAUACUAUCGGAUGAACCCAUAUGGGAUUAGGGAGUAGGUGGGGUAAAGGCUCACCUAGGCGACGAUCUCUAUCUGGUCUGAGAGGAUGAUCAGCCACACUGGGACUGAGACACGGCCCAGACGCCUACGGGAGGCAGCAGUGGGGAAUCUUGCACAAUGGGCGCAAGCCUGAUGCAGCCAUGCCGCGUGUGUGAAGAAGGCCUUCGGGUUGUAAAGUACUUUCAGCGGGGAGGCGUUGCCCGCAGAAGAAGCACCGGCUAACUCCGUGCCAGCAGCCGCGGUAAUAC
rnacentral:rRNA from 1 species